GUAAGGGCAUCUGGUGGAUGCCUUGGCGCGCGGAGGCGAUGAAGGACGUGGCACGCUGCGAUAAGCCGUGGGGAGCUGCGAGCAAGCUUUGAUCCGCGGAUCUCCGAAUGGGGAAACCCACCGCUUCAUGCGGUAUCCCAUCCUGAAUCCAUACGGAUGGGAGGCGAACCCGGGGAACUGAAACAUCUCAGUACCCGGAGGAAAGGAAAUCAACCGAGACUCCCCGAGUAGUGGCGAGCGAAAGGGGACCAGGCCAGUGGCCUCGGAGAGGAAACCGGAACGGUUCUGGAAAGGCCGACCGGAGAGGGUGAUAGUCCCGUACGGGUAAAGCCGAUCCGAGGUCCUCGAGUAGGGCGGGACACGUGGAAUCCCGUCUGAACAUGGGAGGACCACCUUCCAAGCCUAAGUACUCCCGCGCGACCGAUAGUGCACCAGUACCGUGAGGGAAAGGUGAAAAGCACCCCGAUGAGGGGAGUGAAACAGACCCUGAAACCGGAUGCCUACAAGCAGUCGGAGCCUCCUUGUGGGGUGACGACGUACCUUUUGCAUAAUGGGUCAGCGAGUUGGUGUCACGAGCGAGCUUAAGCCGAGUGAGGUGGAGGCGCAGCGAAAGCGAGUCCUAACAGGGCGACCAGUUCGUGGCAUCAGACCCGAAGCCCGGUGAUCUAGCCAUGGCCAGGCUGAAGGUGGGGUAACACCCACUGGAGGGCCGAACCCGUGUCUGUUGAAAAAGACUGGGAUGAGCUGUGGCUAGGGGUGAAAGGCCAAUCAAACCGGGAGAUAGCUGGUUCUCCGCGAAAGCUAUUGAGGUAGUGCGUCGGGUGGUCACCUUCGGGGGUAGAGCACUGGAUGGGCUAGGGGGCCGCGAGGCUUACCAAACCUAACCAAACUCCGAAUACCGAAGAGUGCAGCCCGGCAGACAGACUGCGGGUGCUAAGGUCCGUGGUCGAGAGGGAAACAGCCCUGACCGCCAGCUAAGGUCCCUAAAUCGUGUCUAAGUGGGAAAGGAAGUGAAGACCCCAAAACAACCAGGAGGUUGGCUUAGAAGCAGCCAUCCUUUAAAGAAAGCGUAACAGCUCACUGGUCUAAUCAAGGGUCUUCGCGCCGAAGAUGUAACGGGGCUCAAGACACGUACCGAAGCUGCGGGAUCGGUGAUCAGUGAUCAGUCAUCAGUGAUCGGGUGAGGACGAUGGAACCGGGCCAGACAUGGAGAUUUGAGGACCUUGAGGUCUUCAAACGCGCCUAUGCCCUGUCUCUGGAUGUUCAUCGUGCGACGUUGAGCUUUCCGAAGAUUGAACAAUACGGAGGGCUGGCCGAUCAGAUGCGGCGUGCAUCGAAGUCGGUCUGUGCUCUGAUCGCGGAAGGCCAAGGGCGAUCGCGUUCAACGUGGGAGGAAUUUCGUCGCUAUCUUGUGAUGGCGAUGAGUUCCGCUGACGAAAUGCAGCUGUGGUGUAGAUACGCUCGUGACUUGGGGUAUCUUGACCGGCAGAUUGCAGAUCGUUGGCAGGAGGCGUACCGGAUAGUGGCCCGGAUGCUUCAGAGCUUCGUGGCGCAUCUUUCCUCGUCUGAUAACUGAUAACCGAUCACUGAUCACCGGUCGGUAGCGGAGCGUUCCGUACGCCUGCGAAGCGGUUCCGUGAGGAGCCGUGGAGGUAUCGGAAGUGCGAAUGCUGACAUGAGUAGCGAUAAGGAGGGUGAGAGUCCCUCCCGCCGAAAGUCCAAGGGUUCCUGCGCAAUGCUCGUCAGCGCAGGGUGAGCCGGCCCCUAAGGCGAGGCCGAAAGGCGUAGCCGAUGGGAACACGGUUAAUAUUCCGUGGCCCGGUGGUGGUGACGAAUGCCGCAAGUUGUCCGGCCUUACUGGAUUGGCACGGGCAGCGAAGGCGUUCCAGGAAAUAGCCCCACCAUUAUGGACCGUACCCGAAACCGACACAGGUGGACUGGUAGAGCAUACCAAGGCGCUUGGGAGAACGGUGCUGAAGGAACUCGGCAAAUUGCCUCCGUAACUUCGGGAGAAGGAGGCCCUGCCGAUGGGCAACCAUUGGCAGGGGGCACAAGCCAGGGGGUGGCGACUGUUUACUAAAAACACAGGGCUCUGCGAAGCCGAUCAAGGCGACGUAUAGGGUCUGACGCCUGCCCGGUGCCGGAAGGUUAAAGGGAGGGGUGCAAGCCCCGAACUGAAGCCCCGGUAAACGGCGGCCGUAACUAUAACGGUCCUAAGGUAGCGAAAUUCCUUGUCGGGUAAGUUCCGACCUGCACGAAUGGCGUAACGACUUCCCCACUGUCUCCAGCACCGACCCAGCGAAAUUGAACUCUCCGUGAAGAUGCGGAGUACCCGCGGUUAGACGGAAAGACCCCGUGCACCUUUACUACAGCUUCAGAGUGGCAUGAGGGACGACAUGUGUAGGAUAGGUGGGAGGCUGUGAAGCCGGGGCGCCAGCUCCGGUGGAGCCGUCGGUGAAAUACCACCCUUGUCGUUCUUCGUGUCUAACCGCGCCCCGUGAACCCGGGGCCGGGACCCUCUGUGGCGGGUAGUUUGACUGGGGCGGUCGCCUCCCAAAGAGUAACGGAGGCGCGCGAAGGUCGGCUCGGAUCGGUUGGAAAUCGAUCUUCAGAGUGCAAUGGCAUAAGCCGGCCUGACUGCGAGACCGACGGGUCGAGCAGGGACGAAAGUCGGCCAUAGUGAUCCGGUGGUCCCGCGUGGAAGGGCCAUCGCUCAACGGAUAAAAGGUACGCCGGGGAUAACAGGCUGAUACCCCCCAAGAGCCCAUAUCGACGGGGGUGUUUGGCACCUCGAUGUCGGCUCAUCACAUCCUGGGGCUGGAGCAGGUCCCAAGGGUUCGGCUGUUCGCCGAUUAAAGUGGUACGUGAGCUGGGUUUAGAACGUCGUGAGACAGUUCGGUCCCUAUCUGCCGCGGGCGUUCGAGACUUGAGAGGAGCUGUCCCUAGUACGAGAGGACCGGGAUGGACGCACCUCUGGUGGACCGGUUGUGGCGCCAGCCGCAGUGCCGGGUAGCUAUGUGCGGAAGGGAUAACCGCUGAAAGCAUCUAAGCGGGAAGCCCCCCUCAAGAUGAGGUCUCGUUUGAAGAGCCGUGGAAGACCACCACGUUGAUAGGCCGGAGGUGGAAGCGCAGCAAUGCGUGAAGCUGACCGGUACUAAUGGCUCGAAUG
rnacentral:rRNA from 1 species